UAGAGCAUAUGCUCUGGGACCCGAAAGAUGGUGAACUAUGCCUGGGCAGGACGAGGCCAGAGGAAACUCUGGUGGAGGUCCGUAGCGAUUCUGACGUGCAAAUCGAUCGUCAGACCUUGGUAUAGGGGCGAAAGACUAAUCGAACCAUCUAGUAGCUGGUUCCCUCCGAAGUUUCCCUCAGGAUAGCUGGUGCUCGGAGGACCGGUCUCAUCCGGUAAAGCGAAUGAUUAGAGGCCUUGGGGCCGAAACGACCUCAACCUAUUCUCAAACUUUAAAUGGGUGAGAAGUCUGGCUUGCUCGACUGAAGUCCGGACAGAAAUUGGACGUGAGCACCAAGUGGGCCACUUUUGGUAAGCAGAACUGGCGAUGCGGGAUGAACCGAACGCCGGGUUAAGGCGCCCGAUGCGCGACGCUUAGCAGACCCCAUGAAAGGUGUUGGUUGCUAUAGACAGCAGGACGGUGGCCAUGGAAGUCGGAACCCGCUAAGGAGUGUGUAACAACUCACCUGCCGAAGCAACUAGCCCUGAAAAUGGAUGGCGCUCCAGCGUCGAGCCCAUACCCGGCUCCUGCGACGGGGAGAGUUAGGUCGCA
rnacentral:rRNA from 1 species